GUAACGGGAAGUAAGUAAAUUUUUUGUAGACUAUACAGUAAGUUUUUUUAGUGGCGAACGGGUGAGUAAUAUAUAGGAACUUACUCAAUAGUGGGGGAUAACAGUUGGAAACGACUGCUAAUACCGCAUAUUCCCGAGAGGGGAAAGGUAUUUAUAUCGCUAUCGAAGAGGUCUUAUAUCUGAUUAGCUAGUUGGUGAGAUAACUGCUUACCAAGGCAUAGAUCAGGUAGCCGGUCUGAGAGGAUGAUCGGCCACAUUGGGACUGAGAUACGGCCCAAACUCCUACGGGGAGGCAGCAGUAGGGAAUAUUGGACAAUGGACGAAAGUCUGAUCCAGCAAUGCCGCGUGAGUGAUGAAGGUGUUAUGCAUCGUAAAGCUCUUUUAACAGGGAAGAUAAUGACAGUACCUGUAGAAUAAGCACCGACUAACUAUGUG
rnacentral:rRNA from 1 species